GAAGUCCGUUUUUUUGAAGCUCCUCCCUCGUGGCUGAUCAGAGUUUUUUGUCACUUUUUUGUUUUUACUUUAUCGUUGUCCGUAACAGGAGAGUUUUGACCUCCUGGUGUUUGCAUGAGCGGUGAUGCCUUCAGGGACGUCUAGUCGUCGCUGAUGACGUCCACGUCCUCCCCCCCGGGCUGCUGUGUGGCUGCUCUCCAGCGGUUGAUGUGCUGACUGCCCUUCCUCUUCUGCUGAGCUUCUGGAGACUCUUCCUCCAACUUCUGACGCUUGUGCUUCGUCCUGCGGUUCUGAAACCAAACCUUCACCUGCACACCGACAGAGAGAGAGACAGGUGUGUCUUAAUACAGUGAAAUGAGCUCAUAAAUAAAUCUGGGAUGAUUCACAUCGUUUCGCUGGCGUCAGGACUCGUAUCGCUGUGGCGACACCCGAUGACAAACGCUGUCAAUCAUUCCUGAGAAAAGGGGCAGGGAGCGUCUCGGAGCUGACUAACCGUCGACUCACGGUCCCUCCCCUCCACAGUCACUGGACCGCCGCCAGCUGCCUUCAGAUCAUACCUGAGCUCAUCCUGAGAAACACGAGGACAUAACGGAAGACUCGCCGGAAAGCAGCGAUGUUUCAGCGCUGACGUUGCUAAGCAAGGCACUGACGCCAGCAGAGUUGGGGGUUUAAAUCCCGGGAGGUUUGAUGUACACUUAACUACUGAGGAAUCAACUGCCAUCAUUUUUUAUUUUCACUAUUUCAUAUAAGUUUUCAUUUCAGUGAGUAAAAUUUUAUUGAAGUUACUUUUUUAAAGUGGUCAUAUUAUGCACAUUUUCAGGUUCAUAAUUUUAUGUAAGGGAAUGCACCAGAACAGGUUUGUGUUUGUCAGACUGUACAUCGCUGCAUCGUGUGUUGAACUCUCCAUUUUAGCUACCGAGUGAAGCAUCUCAUCAAUCACUCAAUCUUUGUUGGGAGUUUCACAUGUGCAGUACCUAGUUAAGGCCUCUAGCCAAUCAGAAGCAGAGUAGGGUGGGUCCUAAACACAAGGUUUAGCUGUACAUGUUCCCAAACCUGCUUUUAAGUAUAAUUUCUACUGAAAGAAUUCUUAAUAUAUAAAAUUCAGAAUAUCUGUGUUUGAGACUAUAUUCCAAAUUAAUUAAUUAAUUAUUUUUUUUACUGACUUUCACUGCAAGUUGUUAACUUUUAGUUUAGUUUUAUAUAUUCAGUGUAAUUUGUACAAUGAUUUCUAUACUAUCAGCUGGGGGAAGGUUCAGUUACGUUAAUUGUGGUAAAUGUUAAAAAUUCAAUAAAUAAGACUUUGACAGUCAGAAA